AAAAACAUUAAUUGCUCUGGCAGGCGAUGAGGUGAGAUAAUGAAGGUGAGGGAGAGAGGGAGGGAGGGGGAGGGGGGGGAGAGAAUUUUGCCUAUCUGGAUUCUUUGAAAUCAGCCGGAAAUAAACCGACCUGGAAAGUGACUGAAGCAUUUGAAAUGAGGUGGUCCCAAGAGGCUUUGGCCUCUCUUACGCCCAUUCCUGCCCAGUGAAGCCCAGGAAGCAGUGUGCUGCAGCCUCAGGAGCCAGCUUCCUCUGCCUGUGCCAGGGUUCUACUCUCCCAUCCGGGGAAAUCGCCUGAGCCCCGGUUUGGCUGAGACUCAGGCUCAGUCCAAUCCACGUCCUGGCUUGCAGAGGAGAAUCCGGUCCAGUGUUUAUUUUUAGCAUCGCUUCCCUGUGACCAAGCUGGGAGACAAGCGGUGCUGGACCAGCCGGGUGGUACUGGGGAGGGGAGGGGAAACUAGAGGAGAAGGGACCAGGCAGGUGGGAGGGGGCCUCUCCGCGCAUGCGCGCCUCGCCUAUGCAAAUCAGGACCUAGCCCGAGCACAGCGGAGUGGGCUGAUCAGCCACUCCACCUGCGGCAGCACCACACUUGGCGGACAGCUCCCAGUUCCCAGCUCCCAGCUCCCAGCUCCUGCUCCUGCUCUUGGCUCCCAAUUGCUGCGGUCCCAGUCAGGUACAGCCCGCCUUCCUUCCCCCCCCUGCAACAGCAGCAGCAGCAGGAGCAGCAGCAGCAGGAGCAGCAGCAGCAGCAGCAGCAGCAGCAGGAGCAGCAGGAGCAGCAGCAGCAGCAGCAGCAGCAGCAGGAGCAGCAGGAGCAGCAGCAGCAGCAGCAGCAGCAGCAGCAGCAGCAGUAGCAGCAGCAGUAGCCAUAGACCCAACUGGGUUCAGUGUCCUCUGGGGCUUCCUUCCAGCUUCCAAGGGUUAAAGCGUCCAUCCCAUACACCCUUCCUUGAGCCAGCCAGGAGGAAGGAAGCAGCACCGGUGCCCUCCCGCCCUCGCCCUCCUCGUCCUCCUCCUUGUCCUCGUCCUCCUAGUCCCGGGCUCAGGGACUGCCGGCCAUCCCAAAGGGGCCUCAUCUUCUGCAACUUGCUCUGAAGUUCUUGAUACUCCGGAGGGACCGAGAUGGAGAGCAAAGGUAUGUAACUGGUGGGGCCUGAGGACUCUCCAGCAGGUCUGCCGGCCAGGUGUGUGGGGGCGAGAGCACACUGCAGUGGCCCAGCUGAGCCUAGCCGGACAGAGGAGUUCCCUAGUAGCAGGAGAGGCAGCGGGCAGGGAAGUAGGCAAGGUGGGGAUGCUGUCGAGUCGGGCCCAUUGCUGCUGCAUCAGGGAGGAAAGUACAACGGGGAGGGGAGACAGCGGGCUAUUUCUUCUCAACUCCCGCAGCUCUGAAGUGAGGCUGGCUGGGAAACAGGCAAACCGGCAAGGAGGCAGGCUUCCUUCUUCCCUCCGUCCCUCCGUCCCUCCGUCC
rnacentral:lncRNA from 1 species